GUCCUGGAAGGAGCCUCCCACCCGGGCGUCCGCAUGAUCCCGUUGAAAUCAAGGAAGCAGGUGGUACUACUACAAGUAAUAAUCCGGAAGAAGCAACUUUGCAGAAUCUUCUUGCUCAGGAAUCCUGUUGCAAGUUCCCAUCGUCCCAGGAACUAGAGGAUGCCUCCUGCUGUUCUCUUAAGAAAGAUUCCAACCCAAUGGUAAUUAUGCUAAAGAAGAUGUGUAGGACUAACAUUAUACUAAAUGCUGGACCCCAUCAUUACUAAGUCGACUGAUCAUUUCACUCGUU
rnacentral:lncRNA from 1 species